rnacentral:lncRNA from 1 species
CCAAAACCCUUUGUGUUUCUCUCGGAGAAUUACAACGUCAAAAGCACUAACCCUAAUUCUCGGAAACCCCAAGAUAUAUAUUAAAUAAUAUUUUUCUAUCAUCUAAUAUAUUAUUUCCUAUAUUUUAGCAUCACAAAAUCUUCUAAUUUGUGAUCUACUAACCAUUCUCUGUGUGUAACACAAGUACACGAACCAAAGCUCCACCACUGCAUCAACCUAUCAAGCUCCAAGUUCUUGAGCUUCUUGAGCUUACAUUCUCCUCCUUUUUCACUGAGUUUUACAACUCAAACUCACUAACCUUUAAGCAUAAUAUGCAUCAUACAUCCCAUCAA